UNGAAAUGAGCAACCUCAGUAAAUGGAAGGC
rnacentral:piRNA from 1 species